rnacentral:tRNA from 1 species
GACUUUUAAAGGUCAGGUAGUAUCGCCACUGGUCUUAGAAACCAAAAUCCU